AUGCCGGUAGUUCGAGAAAGCGGAACCGCUCGAGGAUGCUGGGCACGGAAGGGGGAGGAGCAGAGCCGUCUCCGACGCGGCAUGUCUAAGAGGCGGGCGCAGAGGGGGAUAGCGGCGGCGAUCGCCGGCGAGGGUGUUGCGGCAGCCUGCCCACGGAUCUCGGCGAUGGCGCCUGCUCGAGAAAGUCGCAGCACUCGAGGAUGCGUGGCGCGGAGGGAGAGAGCAGCAGCGGAUCUGACGCCGCCGCCGUCCGCCGCCGCGGCGCUUCAGCGUCGGCAUGUGGUGGAGGUCAACCAGAAGGUGGACGACGCCCUGCCGCUUGCAGCCGAGCUGCUCGUCGACGUGGACGCCGUCUUCUUUCCUGCGAUGUGCCGAAGGGGAACUGCUCGCCGGGAGUCACCCAUGGCCAGGAUCUUGAUCUUGAUGCACAACCAGGAGGUGAACUAG
rnacentral:rRNA from 1 species